GUAACGACCCGAAAAUCGGACCGCUACCGGCGCUAGGAUCCAGGUCGACUUAAGGUCGCCGGGACCCGUAGCAAGCCUGCUAUCCUCUCUGCAUACCUGAUAAAUCCCAUACAUGAUCAAACAUUUGCUGUCAAACCAUAAAACUGAUACUCUGACCCAAGGCUCAACCUGUGCAUGCACUAUCUCUGUACUACAGAACCCCUUACUAGAG
rnacentral:lncRNA from 1 species